GAUGAACGCUGGCGGCGUGCUUAACACAUGCAAGUCGAACGAAACACCUUAUUUGAUUUUCUUCGGAACUGAAGAUUUGGUGAUUGAGUGGCGGACGGGUGAGUAACGCGUGGGUAACCUGCCCUGUACAGGGGGAUAACAGUCAGAAAUGACUGCUAAUACCGCAUAAGACCACAGCACCGCAUGGUGCAGGGGUAAAAACUCCGGUGGUACAGGAUGGACCCGCGUCUGAUUAGCUGGUUGGUGAGGUAACGGCUCACCAAGGCGACGAUCAGUAGCCGGCUUGAGAGAGUGAACGGCCACAUUGGGACUGAGACACGGCCCAAACUCCUACGGGAGGCAGCAGUGGGGAAUAUUGCACAAUGGGGGAAACCCUGAUGCAGCGACGCCGCGUGAGUGAAGAAGUAUUUCGGUAUGUAAAGCUCUAUCAGCAGGGAAGAAAAUGACGGUACCGGACUAAGAAGCCCCGGCUAACUACGU
rnacentral:rRNA from 1 species